UGACCGGGACAGUUGACAGGAUCACAGCUGUUUACUGUUUAUGUUUAUCGGCUUUUGUUUUGCUUUGCUUUUACCAGUGCGAUUUAUUUCCCUUUUACGCGUUAUUGAGUUUUAUCUGCUUUGAAAUACUAUUUUGGAUUGCUUUAUUUUAUUUUUGCAAUUUUAUUUCAUACCUUCUGAUUGGUAAAGUCAUAUACCAUGGGUAUCUUUUGCCAGUCUUGUGGCAAAUUGUUUUCUAAUAAAAGCAAUUUCAUUAAGCACCAAAAGAAUGUUCAUAAUGUUAUAACUGAAAAUCAAGUUAUGAAAUAUGCAAUGGAUGCAAAAUUAUUUAAGUGUUUAGAGGGCUGCAAAACUUAAACAUAAUAUGGACUUAAGAUGCCACCUGGACCAACAACAUGAAUUAAAAACUGAAGUUCAAGACUCAAGAGAGAACUUUUGCUGGUUAUAAAGAGUUUGUGACUUGGCUGAAUAAGUUGAGGAGAAGAAUCAGGAUAUAAGAUAUGAAAAAAACAACAGGCACAAAGAAACGAGAUGCUUCAUUGACAGAAAAGAUCUAUUUUGGGUGUGUUCAAUCUGGGAAGCAGCUUAAAGUGUCUGAAAAUGAUUUAAGAAGAACUUCAAAAAGCCAAGGGUCCUGCAAGUUGAAUGCUGCAUGCACAAGUCAAAUUAUAAUUAAUGAAAAUACAGAGACUGGAGAAUUUUUAACGAAAUAUUUUACUUCUCAUUAUGGACAUGGUAAAGACAUUUAGCAUUUAAGACUGUCAAAGAUUGCCAGAGAAACAGUAGCUUCUAAGCUUUUAAUGGGAGUUUCAUCUGAACAUAUCAUCAACUCAACACAUGAUAAGAUCUCAGAAAAUUUAAACAGGGAUGAUCUGCUCACAAAAGAGGACAUUAAAAACAUUAAAAUGUCCUAUAAUAUCCAUUUUAGGGAUGGUUAUCUCCACAAAGAUGAUGCUACCAGUGUUGACUUAUGGGUGAGAAAAUUAGAAGAUUCUGGGCAAACUCGAGUGCUUCUAUAUAAAAGGCAGGGAGAAUUACAAAAUAGUAAUAAAUUAUUAAGAAAU
rnacentral:lncRNA from 1 species